GACGAACGCUGGCGGCGUGCUUAACACAUGCAAGUCGAGCGAGGCCCUCCUUCGGGGGGUGCCCUAGCGGCGAACGGGUGAGUAACACGUGGGCAACCUGCCCUCAGCUCUGGGAUAACUCCAAGAAAUUGGUGCUAAUACCGGAUGUGACCGCUGACCGCAUGGUCUGGUGGUGGAAAGAUUCAUCGGCUGAGGAUGGGCCCGCGGCCUAUCAGCUUGUUGGUGGGGAACAGCCUACCAAGGCGACGACGGGUAGCCGGCCUGAGAGGGUGACCGGCCACACUGGGACUGAGACACGGCCCAGACUCCUACGGGAGGCAGCAGUGGGGAAUAUUGCGCAAUGGGCGAAAGCCUGACGCAGCGACGCCGCGUGAGGGAUGACGGCCUCGGUGUAA
rnacentral:rRNA from 1 species